UAUGAGAGCUUUCGAGAAUAUCUCUGACGGAGAACUGGAUUUCCUGGAUAUUACAUGACAGAAGACUAUGUGUAAGUAUAAAGUAACUACAAUUCUCAACGUGUGAUAAUCGAAAUAAAAAUUAAAUAGUAAAAAUACUAAGUGAAAUAUGAAAUUUUCCAAUA